rnacentral:rRNA from 1 species
UACGAAGGGGCUAGCGUUGUUCGGAAUUACUGGGCGUAAAGCGUAUGUAGGCGGCCAUUCAAGUCGGGGGUGAAAGCCUGUGGCUCAACCACAGAAUUGCCUUCGAUACUGUUUGGCUUGAGUUUGGUAGAGGUUGGUGGAACUGCGAGUGUAGAGGUGAAAUUCGUAGAUAUUGCAAGAACACCAGUGGCGAAGGCGGCCAACUGGACCAACACUGACGCUGAGGCGGCGAAAAGCGUGGGGAGCAAACAGG